ensembl:piRNA 21ur-12326 ncRNA
UCGCGUUCUAGAAUUUCUAAA